rnacentral:tRNA from 1 species
UCCUUGGUGGUUCAGGAGCUAAGAAUCCGAGCUUCCAACGCAGGGGGCCCAGGUUCAAUCCCUGGUCAGGGAA